GACGAACGCUGGCGGCGUGCUUAACACAUGCAAGUCGAACGGAAAGGCCCUGCUUUUGUGGGUUGCUCGAGUGGCGAACGGGUGAGUAACACGUGAGUAACCUGCCCUUGACUUUGGGAUAACUUCAGGAAACUGGGGCUAAUACCGGAUAGGAUCUCCUGCUGCACGGUGGGGGUUGGAAAGUUUCGGCGGUUGGGGAUGGACUCGCAGCUUAUCAGCUUCUUGGUGGGGUAGUGGUAUACCAAGUGUUUGACGGGUAGCCCGCCUGAGAGGGUGACCGGGGUCAUGGGGACUGCGAUACGGAGCAGACUGCAACGGUACGCAGCGGUCGGGAGUAUGACACAGCAGCCCGAAGCCUGAUGCAGAAGCGCCGCGUGCGUGAUGACGGCCUUCGAGUGAUAAACCACUUUCGACUGUGACGAAGAGUGAGUGACGGUAAUGGAUCAAGAAGCAACGGCUAACUACGUG
rnacentral:rRNA from 1 species